GACGAACGCUGGCGGCGUGCCUAAUACAUGCAAGUAGAACGCUGAAGGAGGAGCUUGCUUCUCUGGAUGAGUUGCGAACGGGUGAGUAACGCGUAGGUAACCUGCCUGGUAGCGGGGGAUAACUAUUGGAAACGAUAGCUAAUACCGCAUAAGAGUAGAUGUUGCAUGACAUUUGCUUAAAAGGUGCAAUUGCAUCACUACCAGAUGGACCUGCGUUGUAUUAGCUAGUUGGUGGGGUAACGGCUCACCAAGGCGGCGAUACAUAGCCGACCUGAGAGGGUGAUCGGCCACACUGGGACUGAGACACGGCCCAGACUCCUACGGGAGGCAGCAGUAGGGAAUCUUCGGCAAUGGACGGAAGUCUGACCGAGCAACGCCGCGUGAGUGAAGAAGGUUUUCAGAUCGUAAAGCUCUGUUGUAAGAGAAGAACGAGUGUGAGAGUGGAAAGUUCACACUGUGACGGUAUCUUACCAGAAAGGGACGGCUAACUACGUGCCAGCAGCCGCGGUAAUACGUAGGUGGCAAGCGUUAUCCGGAUUUAUUGGGCGUAAAGAGAGUGCAGGCGGUUUUCUAAGUCUGAUGUGAAAGCCUUCGGCUUAACCGGAGAAGUGCAUCGGAAACUGGAUAACUUGAGUGCAGAAGAGGGUAGUGGAACUCCAUGUGUAGCGGUGGAAUGCGUAGAUAUAUGGAAGAACACCAGUGGCGAAGGCGGCUACCUGGUCUGCAACUGACGCUGAGACUCGAAAGCAUGGGUAGCGAACAGG
rnacentral:rRNA from 1 species